GAUGAAGAACGUAGCGAAAUGCGAUACUUGGUGUGAAUUGCAGAAUCCCGUGAACCAUCGAGUCUUUGAACGCAAGUUGCGCCCGAGGCCAUUAGGCCGAGGGCACGCCUGCCUGGGCGUCACACGUCGUUGCCCCCCCAUCUACUCCUUCGGGAUUGCGGGGGGCGGAUGAUGGCCUCCCGUGCGCCUCGUCGCGCGGUUGGCCUAAAUGCCAAGUCCUCGGCGACGCACGCCACGACAAUCGGUGGUUGCGAAACCUCGGUUGCCUGUCGUGUGCGGUCGUCGCGCAUCGAGGGCUCGAAAAAAUUGCCGGGCUUCGGCUCGACUUUCAACGCGACCCCAGGUCAGGCGGGGUUACCCGCUGAAUUUAAGCAUAUCAAUAAGCGGAGGA
rnacentral:misc_RNA from 1 species